rnacentral:rRNA from 1 species
GCACUAAGUCACUUUGUCUUUAUGGCAAAUGUGAGAUGCAGUGUAUGGAAUGUCAAAUUUCUAGUAUGAGAAAUUAACGAUUUAAGUCCUUCUUAAAUGAGGCCAUUUACCCAUAGAGGGUGCCAGGCCCGUAUAACGUUAAUGAUUACUAGAUGGCAUUUCCAAAGAGUCGUGUUGCUUGAUAGUGCAGCACUAAGUGGGUGGUAAACUCCAUCUAAAACUAAAUAUAACCAUGAGACCGAUAGUAAACAAGUACCGUGAGGGAAAGUUGAAAAGAACUCUGAAUAGAGAGUUAAAUAGUACGUGAAACUGCUUAGAGGUUAAGCCCGAUGAACCUGAAUAUCCAUUAUAGAAAAUUCAUCAUUAUGAUUUUAAUAUUAAUAAUAUUAUAAUAAUGGUGUGCAUUUUUUCUAUAACGGACAUUGUAAUCUAUUAACAUAAAUAUAUUUAUCAUAAGAUCAAUGAUGCGUAAGUUUAUUCAAAUUAUUUUGCUUGCAAUUUAACAUAGAAUAAAUGCUCUUGAUUUGAUAAAGUGUUGAUAGAUUUAUUGUAUAUAGUGCUUAAAUAUUUAUAUUUUAUAAUAGCAUAUUAAUCAUUGAUUUUUAUGUUUAUUAUAUGCACUUAUAUGAUUAACAAUGCGAAAGAUUCAGGAUACCUUCGGGACCCGUCUUGAAACACGGACCAAGGAGUCUAACAUAUUUGCAAGUUAUUGGGUAUCAAAACCUAAUAGCGAAAUUAACAUAACUUUAAUGGGAUUAGUUUUUAGAUUAUUUAUAGUCUAUUAAUUCAAUCCCGGGGCGUUCUAUCAGUUAUGUAUAAUAAUAUUUAUAUUAUUUAUACCUCUAACUAGAGCGUACCUUGAGCAUAUAUGCUGUGACCCGAAAGAUGGUGAACUAUACUUGAUCAGGUUGAAGUCAGGGGAAACCCUGAUGGAAGACCGAAACAGUUCUGACGUGCAAAUCGAUUGUCAGAA